rnacentral:rRNA from 1 species
CCUACGGGCGGCAGCAGUGGGGAAUAUUGGGCAAUGGAGGAAACUCUGACCCAGCAACGCCGCGUGAAUGAUGAAGGUCUUCGGAUUGGAAAGUUCUUUUCUACGGGAAGAAGAAAGUGCCGGUACCUUAGGAAGAAGCCGUGGCUAACUACGUGCCAGCGGCCGAGGUAAUACGUAGGAGGGAAGCGUUAUCCGGAAUGACUGGGCGUAAAGGGUGCGUAGGUGGUUUGACAAGUUUGUAGCGUAUCUCCGGGGCUCAAACUCGGCACUACCACCAAAACUGUCGGACUUGAGUGCAUGAGGAGCAAAUGGAAUUCCUAGUGUAGCGGUGGAAUGCAUAGAUAUUAGGAGGAACACCAGUUGCGAAGGCGAUUUGCUGGACUGUAACUGACACUGAAGCAUGAAAGCGUGGGGAGCAAACAGGAUUAGAUACCCCAGUAGUC